UACGUAGGGUGCGAGCGUUGUCCGGAAUUAUUGGGCGUAAAGGGCUCGUAGGCGGUUUGUCGCGUCGGGAGUGAAAUCCACUGGCUUAACUGGUGGCUUGCUUUCGAUACGGGCAGACUGGAGGUAUGCAGGGGAGAACGGAAUUCCUGGUGUAGCGGUGAAAUGCGCAGAUAUCAGGAGGAACACCGGUGGCGAAGGCGGGUCUCGUGGGCCGUAACUGACGCUGAGGAGCGAAAGCGUGGGGAGCGAACAGG
rnacentral:rRNA from 1 species